UGUCCAGACUCCUACGGGAGGCAGCAGUGGGGAAUAUUGCGCAAUGGGCGAAAGCCUGACGCAGCGACGCCGCGUGAGGGAUGAAGGUCUUCGGAUCGUAAACCUCUGUCAGCAGGGAAGAACGGUCACUGUGCUAAUCAGCAGUGAAUUGACGGUACCUGCAAAGGAAGCCCCGGCUAACUACGUGCCAGCAGCCGCGGUAAUACGUAGGGGGCGAGCGUUAUCCGGAUUCACUGGGUGUAAAGGGAGCGUAGACGGCCAAGCAAGCCAGGGGUGAAAGCCCGGGGCCCAACCCCGGGACUGCCCUUGGAACUGCAUGGCUGGAGUGCGGGAGGGGCAGGCGGAAUUCCUGGUGUAGCGGUGAAAUGCGUAGAUAUUAGGAGGAACACCAGUGGCGAAGGCGGCUUACUGGACUGUAACUGACGUUGAGGCUCGAAAGCGUGGGGAGCAAACAGGAUUAGAUACCCUAGUA
rnacentral:rRNA from 1 species